UGAAAGGGGCCUAACAUCCCACCUAAAGGCAUCCUAUAUGUGACAUGAAGGAAAUGUAUCGGUCACUGAGGACGCUCAAUGACAUCACACGAGAGAUUACCAAUGGAUAGGGGAUAUCUAUCUAAUGGAGUGGACAGAAGACCUGCCCUGAUUCUGCGCCAUUCAUUCUCUUUGGGGCUUCCGAACAUUACCAAGAACUGAAGUGCGCUAUGUUUGGAAGUUCUACAGACAGCAAAUGGAGAGAUGGCCAAGAAAAAAUAAAAAUCAGAGUACAGUUUUGGAUGAGAUCAUAAGAGCAGCAGACCCAGAAACCAAGUACACUUCCCCCCCCAAUGCAGUUAUAUAGCGGUAGAGAAAACGAAAUACACAUUUUAUCCACCAGCUAAAAUGAG